CCCUUAGAUGUCCUGGGCCGCACGCGCGCUACACUGAUACGUUCAACGAGCCUUCCUUGGUCGAGAGGCCUAGGUAAUCUUUUGAACGCGUAUCGUGAUAGGGAUAGAUCAUUGCAAUUAUUGAUCUUGAACGAGGAAUUCCUAGUAAACGCGAGUCAUCAGCUCGCAUUGAUUACGUCCCUGCCCUUUGUACACACCGCCCGUCGCUCCUACCGAUUGAAUGGUCCGGUGAGGCUUUGGGAGAGCUAAAUAGACUGUGCUUCACAGAUUAUUUGGCUUGAACUUAGUCAAACCUUACUAUUUAGAGGAAGGAGAAGUCGUAACA
rnacentral:rRNA from 1 species